CAGAGCAGGUCGGCCAUGGCGUCCUCCGGCGCCGGCGGGGAGCCGUCGAGGUCCGCCAUUGUGGCCGACACGGCGAGCGGGCACCACCUUCUCACGAUUCAGGGCUACUCCUGCACCAAGGACCUUCCCACCGGAGAGAAGAUCAGUUCCCGGCCCUUCACAGUCGGCGGCCACCGCUGGCGCAUCGACUACUACCCUAACGGUGUAAGCUCGUCGGCCAACAGCUGCAUAUCCCUCUCCCUAGUCCUCGACGAAAAGGUCGCGGCGGAUGUGAAGGCGAAGUACAGCUUCUGCCUCGCCGGCGAGGUGGAGGAAAAACAAGCGGCGCGCCUGGCGUCGGCCACGGUGAGCACAUUCCCUUCCAAGAGCUGUAGCGUUCUCAACUGGUACUCGACCUUCAUCAAAAGGGAGGACCUGCAGAGCUCCAAGAACCUGAAGAAUGACUCGUUCACCGUCCGGUGCGACAUCGUCGUCGUCCACCGUUACCUCGUGGAGGACGCGCCGCCAGGCUUCGUCUCCGUGCCGCCGCCGUGCGACCUGCGCCGGGACCUUGCCAAGCUCCUCGAGACUGAGAAAGGUGCUGACGUGGUGUUCGAGGUCGGCGGCGAGACCCUCGCUGCUCACCGGUGCGUGCUGGCGGCCCGCUCGUCGGUGUUCGCCGCUGAGCUCUUCGGACCAAUCAAGGAGGGCAAUGCUGCUGCCGCCGGUAGCCUCGUCGUGCCUGUGGAAGACAUGGAGGCAGAGGUGUUCAAGGCACUACUCCGUUACGCAUACACUGGCUCAUUGCCACAGAUCCGCAAGGAAGACGAAGACGCCACCUGCCAACAUCUGCUCACCGUUGCGGACAGGUAUGGCAUGGAGCGGCUGAAGCUCAUCUGCGAGGAAAAGCUUUGCAAGUACAUCAAUGUCGGCACGGCGGUGACCAUUCUGGUGCUGGCCGAGCAGCACCACUGUGAGGGGCUGAAGAAGGCAUGCUUCAAGUUUCUUGCCACUCCGGCGAAUCUGAAAGCCGUAGUGGCCACCGACGCCUUACAACAACUGAGCACGAGCUGCCCUUCUCUUAUGGUAGAGCUCAUGGCCAUGUCCUUGGCGCAUUCUUAG
rnacentral:rRNA from 1 species